CUAUAGGGCCCGAUUCCGUCUGUGUGCUAGGUUGUCUGGGAGGCUAUGCUUGUGUGGGUUCCCUGGGUGCCUGCCUACAGGCAGGUGUCAGUUGCCGGGGUCAGCUGGGCGUGUUUCCUAGUGUCCCCUUCCCUCUUUAAUGUCCAGAAAUGGGGUUGGCAUCCUGUGUCCCCUGUGGGGGUAGUGGUUUGUGUUUGGUUCCUUUGGGGAGUGUAAGAGUAGCGGGGUCCCAUGGGUUCUGUGGUCAGCUGAAGUGGGUUCUUCUGGGGGUCUAGUAGUGGGCUCAUUAGCGGCUGGGCCCGGGGGUCCUAGU